CUGAGUUUGUAUUUUCAGUGGUGAAACUGGAUGCCUGAAACAGGAAGACCUGGAGUCUGGAAAAGUUGUGUGAUGAAAACCCAAGACAAAAUUCAAUUUGAUAGAAUGUCCUGCUACAAUAUUCUCCUGUUGCUAGGGACAAUAGAAAUUUGGCAUCAUUUUCCAAAUGGGGUGGAAACUCAGCUGCACACCUCGCUGCAAGACUGGGUAUUCUCCAUCAAGAAACCAGCUUCAUCUCAGAUCAAGUAUCUGUCUUCCAACAUGCCAUGGUGGACCACUUGUCCC
rnacentral:lncRNA from 1 species